rnacentral:rRNA from 1 species
AACGAACGCUGGCGGCAUGCCUAACACAUGCAAGUCGAACGAGACCUUCGGGUCUAGUGGCGCACGGGUGCGUAACGCGUGGGAACCUGCCCUUAGGUUCGGAAUAACUCCCCGAAAGGGGUGCUAAUACCGGAUAAUGUCUUCGGACCAAAGAUUUAUCGCCUUUGGAUGGGCCCGCGUUGGAUUAGCUAGUUGGUAGGGUAAAAGCCUACCAAGGCGACGAUCCAUAGCUGGUCUGAGAGGAUGAUCAGCCACACUGGGACUGAGACACGGCCCAGACUCCUACAGGAGGCAGCAGUGGGGAAUAUUGGACAAUGGGCGAAAGCCUGAUCCAGCAAUGCCGCGUGAGUGAUGAAGGCCUUAGGGUUGUAAAGCUCUUUUAACCGGGAUGAUAAUGACAGUACCGGGAGAAUAAGCUCCGGCUAACUCCGUG